UGAGUCGGCAGGGCGGCCGCGGCGAGGCAGUGCUUUCGGGCACGGGCUCGUCGAGGAAAGUCCGGACUCCACAGGGCAGGGUGGUUGUUAACGGCAACCAGGCGCGAGCCUCGGGACAGUGCCACAGAGAACAGACCGCCUGGGUUCGCCCAGGUAAGGGUGAAACGGUGGUGUAAGAGACCACCAGCACCCCUGGUGACAGGGGUGGCUAGGUAAACCCCACCCGGAGCAAGGCCAAGAGGACACCUCGGUGUCUGCGCAGGCGUUCGAGGGCUGCCCGCCCGAUGCCUGCGGGUAGGCCGCUAGAGCCUGUCGGCAACGGCAGGCCGAGAUGGAUGGCCGCCGACUGGGAAUUCGUUCCCAUGAACAGGAUCCGGCUUACAUGCCGGCUCAUCCG
rnacentral:RNase_P_RNA from 1 species